rnacentral:rRNA from 1 species
AGCAGCCGCGGUAAUUCCAGCUCCAAUAGCGUAUAUUAAAGUUGUUGCAGUUAAAAAGCUCGUAGUUGAAUUUCGAGAUCAAAUUGUUGGUCGUGCCUUGGUACGCACUGGCAUUAUUGGUUUCUCCCUUCUGACGAACCAUGAUGUCAUUAAUUUGGUGUCUUGGGGAAUCAGGACUGUUACUUUGAAAAAUUAGAGUGUUUAAAGCAGGCUCACGCUUGAAUACAUUAGCAUGGAAUAAUGAAAUAGGACGUUUGAUUCUAUUUUGUUGGUUUCUAGGAUCGACGUAAUGAUUAAUAGGGAUAGUUGGGGGCAUUAGUAUUCAAUUGUCAGAGGUGAAAUUCUUGGAUUUAUUGAAGACUAACUACUGCGAAAGCAUUUGCCAAGGAUGUUUUCAUUAAUCAAGAACGAAAGUUAGGGGAUCGAAGACGAUCAGAUACCGUCGUAGUCUUAACCAUAAACUAUGCCGACUAGGGAUCGGAUGAUGUUAAUUUUUUAAUGA